UACGUAGGGGGGCUAGCGUUGUCCGGAAUCAUUGGGCGUAAAGCGCGUGUAGGCGGUCCGGUAAGUCCGCUGUGAAAGUCGGGGGCUCAACCUCGGGAUGCCGGUGGAUACUGUCGGGCUUGAGUACGGAAGAGGCGAGUGGAAUUCCUGGUGUAGCGGUGAAAUGCGCAGAUAUCAGGAGGAACACCAAUUGCGAAGGCAGCUCGCUGGGACGUUACUGACGCUGAGACGCGAAAGCGUGGGGAGCAAACAGGAUA
rnacentral:rRNA from 1 species